rnacentral:tRNA from 1 species
ACCUGGCUGGUUCAGUUGGUAGAGCAUGUGACUCUUAAUCUCAAGGUGGUGAGUUCAAAUCCCAUGUUGGGCA